rnacentral:rRNA from 1 species
CGGGUGAGUAAUGUCUGGGAAACUGCCUGAUGGAGGGGGAUAACUGCUGGAAACGGUAGCUAAUACCGCAUAACGUCGCAAGACCAAAGAGGGGGACCUUCGGGCCUCUUGCCAUCGGAUGUGCCCAGAUGGAAUUAGCUAGUAGGUGGGGUAACGGCUCACCUAGGCGACGAUCCCUAGCUGGUCUGAGAGGAUGACCAGCCACACUGGAACUGAGACACGGUCCAG